AUUAGAUACCCUGUAGUCCACGCCGUAACGAUGAUACUAGGUGCGGGGGGCCAAGGCCUUCGGGUGCCGGCGCAAACGCAUUAAGUAAUCCACCUGGGGAGUACGUUCGCAAGAAUGAACUUCAAAGGAAUUGACGGGGACCCGCACAAGCGGUGGAGCAUGUGGUUUAAUCCGAAGCAACGCGAAGAACUUUACCCGGCCUUGACAUCCCGAUGAAUGUACAGUAAUGUGUACAGGACUUCGGUACAUCGGAGACAGGUGGUGCAUGGUUGUCGUCAGCUCGUGUCGUGAGAUGUUGGGUUAAGUCCCGCAACGAGCGCAACCCCUGCCCUCAGUAGCCAGCAGGUAAAGCUGGGAACUCUGAGGGGACUGCCCGGGAUAACCGGGAGGAAGGCGGGGAUGACGUCAAAUCAUCAUGCCCCUUAUGGCCGGGGCUACACACGUGCUACAAUGGCGGAAACAGAGGGAAGCAGCCCCGUGAGGGUGAGCGAACCCCAAAAAUACCGCCUCAGAUCGGAUUGUAGUCUGCAACCCGACUACAUGAAGCCGGAAUCGCUAGUAAUCGCGAAUCAGAAUGUCGCGGUGAAUACGUUCCCGGGUCUUGUACACACCGCCCGUCACACCAUGGGAGCCGGAAAUGCCCGAAGUCAGUGGCCCAACCCAAAAGGAGGGAGCUGCCGAAGGUGGAGCUGGUAACUGGGGUGAAGUCGUAACAAGG
rnacentral:rRNA from 1 species